GUGUCAGCAGCCGCGGUAAGACAGAGGGUGCAAACGUUGCUCGGAAUCACUGGGCGUAAAGGGCGUGUAGGCGGGAAUGUAAGUCGGGCGUGAAAUCCCUAGGCUCAACCUAGGAACUGCACUCGAAACUGCGUUUCUUGAGUAUCGGAGAGGAAAGCGGAAUACCUGGUGUAGAGGUGAAAUUCGUAGAUAUCAGGUGGAACACCAGUGGCGAAGGCGGCUUUCUGGACGAUAACUGACGCUGAGACGCGAAAGCGUGGGGAGCAAACAGGAUUAGAAACCCCCGUAGUCC
rnacentral:rRNA from 1 species